rnacentral:rRNA from 1 species
GAUGAACGCUGGCGGCGUGCCUAAUACAUGCAAGUCGAGCGAACGGACGAGAAGCUUGCUUCUCUGAUAUUAGCGGCGGACGGGUGAGUAACACGUGGAUAACCUACCUAUAAGACUGGGAUAACUUCGGGAAACCGUAGCUAAUACCGGAUAAUAUUUUGAACCGCAUGGUUCAAAAGUGAAAGACGGUCUUGCUGUCACUUAUAGAUGGAUCCGCGCUGCAUUAGCUAGUUGGUAAGGUAACGGCUUACCAAGGCAACGAUGCAUAGCCGACCUGAGAGGGUGAUCGGCCACACUGGAACUGAGACACGGUCCAGACUCCUACGGGAGGCAGCAGUAGGGAAUCUUCCGCAAUGGGCGAAAGCCUGACGGAGCAACGACGCGUGAGUGAUGAAGGUCUUCGGAUCGUAAAACUCUGUUAUUAGGGAAGAACAUAUGUGUAAGUAACUGUGCACAUCUUGACGGUACCUAAUCAGAAAGCCACGGCUAACUACGUG